AAAUUAUAAACUAAACCAAAAAUGCCUCAUAUACUGAAUUUUUUAGUUUCAUCGUUUUCUAAUAUUCUGCUAAAAAGCAAUAAUAAUUUAAAAUAUUUGGUGUGAUGAUAAAUGCAGGUGUAAAUUGAUAGAUAGAAAGACCUUUAGAAUUUCUUACCAGUUGAAAGACUGAGCUGUUUUCUUCCAUUGGUAAGAAAGGGGAAAUGUAACAUUUAAAUAAAACCCAACCACAGACAGAUGGCUUCAGAAUUCUACCAGGAAGUCUACCUGGUUGAUUAUGCCAGACUUAAAGAUGGGGAUCCAGAAAGCAUGCAGAAAGAAAAUUCCUAUAAACUACACAAAUCCCACUCCUAACUUCACAGUAGGUAAAGGUAACUUAGAAGAGAAAUCCUUAAGUGUGCUUCUAUUUCUCUUACUGGAUAAAAAUAACUUCGAAGCUGAUUUGCAGUGACCAUGAAUAAUCAGUGAAGACACGUGGCAUUUUCUGGAAUAUUGAAUGUUCUCAUAAUGAAGAUCUCUCUUCUGCAGCAGAUGUAUAAGGACAUACUGGUAGGCAUCCCACUAGCAAAGGAAAGCCAUCAUUAUACCUCUUUACUUAAUCUGUGUGUUGAACAGUCAGCAGAAAGAGAUGAAUCAUGUAAUCAGAUGCAUCUGCCGUCUACUAAUGGUGGUAUUAGGAGCCAUCAGGACACUGAUAUGUCAGAUGUGGUUGUCCCUACAACAGAUAAUACAUCAAACAGCUUUGCAAACAUGAACUCCUCAUUCUCUCCUCGAGAAGUGAUGCUGCUUCAGCUAACCUUGAUCAAGAUGAUGGCUGCUAAAGCAGAGUCCCUGGAGAUUGAAUUCAGUAUGAAACAAAAGUACUGUGAAAUCUUUGUCCUUCUUCUGAAGGAGGCAAAAAUUGACUCAAAAUUGAUUUGUCUGCUCGGUAGUUGUGAUCAGCUGUUAUCUCACAUGGCGUCAAAAAGUUUAGCAUCUCUUGUGUAUUUCCAGCUGAAGGAAGAGAACUCAUUAAAUGUCACCUGGCUCACCUUCAGUUUGAAGACUCUUUCAGGAUUCCCUGUGAAUACCCACGUAGCAGAAUGUCUGUGGACUCUGACAACUAUUAUCAAGGACAUACUGAAAGAUAAAGUUUUACUCACAGCAGGUGUUUUGGAGAAGUUGUUGGCUCCUCUUGAUGCUGUGCUUGAAGGAUUUUAUGAUUCCAUUCUGUUUCAUCAUUUUGACAGUCACAACUAUACUUCACCUUAUUCUGAAGCUGCAAACAAUUUGAUCAGUUUUAUAGAUCUGCUUGAAGCACUUUUGGCUUCCAGAAUUGAAUUGGAACUACCGCUCAGAUGCCAGAGAGUAUUGUUUUUGAAAGUGUCUUAUGUCCUGAACCUUAUUAGCUCGUCAAUUCACUAUGUAAUCAAGAAGAAGUUCAUUAUGCUCCUUAAAAAAUAUGUCCUUUACAAGUCUAGAGAAGAUGCUAAAAGCGGAUCGCUGUUCUUACAAACCCCAUCUUUAUAUGAGGAUACGCUUGCGCUGAGUAAUGCUGUCCUGCAGGUUGUGAAUUUGACUUGGCUUAAUCAGAUCCCGAUCAGUGAAAAGGCCAGCUACUUUGGAGGCAGUGAAGCUGCUCCUGGAGAUGAUACUCAAGGUGGUUCUGACCAGACUGUUCUCAGAGCCUUAAGUCUGGUGGUGCUUAAAGCACUGGAAUUCAAGUUUCAGAACUCUGCUACAGAAGCUGAAAUCAAAGGAGACUUUCAGAAUUCCAUGUCCCAGUUGUUGAUAUUCUGGAAGAGUCAUGUGAAGUCUUCCCCACAGUCUCACCCAGUCGUACAUCACUGUGAAUGGCUUUCCUUGGUUUUCAUAGAGCAAGAUGAUGAUAUGUGGGAAGCUGCUAAAGCUUUAUUACUCAUUUAUUUAAAAUUCGAUAGGUUACAGCAUGAUGCUGCUGCUAACUUAAGCCAAAAAGAGGAGGAAACCUGGAACUUCGUUACACAUGCAAGUGGAUAUAACCCUCACUGUAUAUUUUUAUUUUUUCUAGAAAAAAUUGCAUUUGAUUCCACAGUACUUCUAGAUUUUUUGAUUUCAUCAGAAACUUGCUUUCUGGAGUACUUCGUAAGGUACUUAAAGCUUCUUAGAAAAGACUGGCAUCAGUUUGUAGAUGUCUGUAACCAUUUUGAUACCAAACAUAGCACUUUUCAAUCAAUUUCUUCUGCCAAGCCACCCCAUCAAGAAAAACAAAGUUGUAUGACUGAUGAGAGUUUGCAAAAUGCUCGUUGUGAACCAGACCCACAGACUCUGAUAUCUUUGGCUUCUUCUCACAAUUACUUAGUGUUUACAACAGAGCAAGGUGAUAAUGAAGUUGCAGAGUCUAACCAGUCUAACUCAUUGAUAUGCGGUGAUAGUACAUCUCUGCUGGGUUCUCUUCAAAGCCUUGUUAAUUAUGACAGCUCAGAAGACUCUGAAUUAGAAUCAGAUGGAAAAGAGUGCUUGGUAAACACAAAGCAGGUGCCUUUAAAUAACGAGGAUGAGAAGAGGAUAAGAGAAAGCGGUUGCAGCUACACAGGUGAUAAACAGAAUACACUCAAGUCUGAAGUGUUGCCUCUGAAACAAAAGGGAUCUAAUACCUCGUCCUGUUUGACUUGUAUGGCAUUUUCAGAUAACAUCAUUCCCAUAAGAAUAAUGCUUUACAGAUCAACAAAAUGUUUGGAAGAACUGCAAAAAGCUAUUUCUAGGUUGCAGAGAAGAAAUCUUUUCCCAUAUAAUCCAUCUGCACUGUUGAAACUACUGAGCCACAUCGAGAAGAUCAGUAAGAACAUGAAUCUGCAAUAAUCUGGAGAAGUGUUUUAGUGAUUUUUUUUUUUUUUUUUUUUUUAAAAACCAGUACAGCAGGGAACAUUUCCAUGAGAUUAAUGACUUGUAAAGCCCAUGCCUCUUGCACCUGUCAGUGUAUUUAACCUGAGGAUAAAUGUGGCUUUGGUUGACACAUUAAAAAUCUGCAAUUGCAUUUGGAGAUGUGAUCCAUUACCUUAGGGUCCCAGGCUUAUUCAUGAUAUAACUUGAAUAACCUGAAGAGUAAGUGUCUAAGACUUUGCCUGGGGAGAGCUAAUUCAGAACAGGAUCCAAACCAGUGCGUGCACUUAGCAGGAAGCCACCUAAUGUUGGUACACUUAACGUGCAGCUUGUAAUGAUCUUACAAGUGUUGGGCAAUGGGAAAGUACUGACGACAGGGACUACUCUAAAAAUCUCAGACCUCAUCAGAACCAUAAGAAGCAAUUCUUCUCCUUUUAGGAUCAUCCCUUGAAGCUCUAUUCUGAUUGAGAACUAGGUAAGUUCUAUUUAGUGUUAAAAUAGUUAUUGAGUUAAGAUGAACAAUCUCUAGAGCAGGUGACUCUGACCCCCAAAUCUUGGGGGCCAUCUUCUAGGUUAGUCUUCAGCUCUGAACUGUUGAAUCGACACUAUUGCGAGGGGAAGAAAACUAGAUGAAGCUUAUGGGAUAAUUUAGCUGGGAAUUACAGUGCUUUCCAGAGACACUGGAAUGGUAUGAAUUCUCAAGCAGGAAGGCUUGAACCUCAGUCUUAUUCUUUCAGAACGACAGCUGUAAUCACUUGGAAAGAGUGAUCCCCUUCACGGACAUGUAGGAGAUCUGAAUUUUCUGUGCAUUCGCUGUGCUCUGAUUUCUUUCUGAGAUAACUUUUGUGCAUAGGAGUGGGUGAGAAUGUCAAUGAAUGGAAACGUUUCCAUUCAUGCUUAUAGUUACUUUAGUUAAGAACUAACCUCUGGGUUAUCCAGGACAGAAGAAUGCCUGGUUUGUCUUUACCGUUUAAACUUGGUUAUGCUCUAAAUGCUGAGUGGCUCCUUUCUGUCAGGACUAAAAUGCCUCUGGGCACUUUCAAAGAUGCAACUCUAGACAACUUGGGAACUUUUCAGUUCAAACAAGGGAAGUGCCUUUGGCAAGGCAGUUGAGCAAGAGUUUCUCAAGUUCACAAUUUUAAACAUAGGUAGGUGCUUACAUUUUAGUUAAAUCCUUUCCACUCUCCUCGCUCCUUUUCUAAUCUGGUCUUUGCUGACUAGUUUAUUUUAACUGAGUAACUUCAUUGUUUUAACUGAACCUAGUAUUGUUCAGCAUUUCUUGGUCUAUACUUUGCCAGUUGGAUGUAUCUACAUUACAACAGUAUUUCUCAGACACUGAUAACAAGCAGGGUGGGAAAGGUAGAAUGGGGAGAUAAUUUUGGUUUUAAGUGCUAGUCUUCUUGUUUGUCAGGUAAUUACUGUAGCUAGAAAAACUUUUUUGAAGUAAGAGUUUAGACACCUCAGAACAGUGUGUAGAACUUAGCAAGAAGAGUAGGAGCCAGAACUCUUACUUAUUUUUUUUUUUUUUUAAUACAGCACAUCCAAUUGCAAUCCAAGUGUAUUUAAUUCUUACAGGCAUGAAGUUGAUUGUAUGCCCAGUUGGUUAUUAGUAGUGAUCAUUCCCACAUGUUUCACUUCUCAGAAAGCCAUUGUUUUAAUUCUCAGAAUGUUUUAGUGGUAAAAAUGGGUAAAUGUGGUUUGUAUCUGGCAACUAGAUGCCUUAAUGUGUUGAUAUUUUACCAUUUAUGAACUGUAGGACCUGAGAUGGAGUAAAACUGAUGUGAGUCAACUUUUUUUUUUUUUAAUUGAACACAAUGAGUAUGAGCAGUGAAAGUGGCUAGUAGUUCUGUGGCUAUAUUCAAAAAGCCUACCACAAAGAAAACACCUUGCAAAAGAAUUUGUAUUUUAAUCCAUUGGUGAGUAUAUAAGGAGGAGUGAUUGGGGUUUGUUUGUGGGUUUUGUUUUGUUAGGGUGUUUUUUGGCUUGAGUUUUUACUUUCUAAAAUUUUUAGGCAGCGCUUUUAUUUAAUUUGCUAGAGCAAAUUAACUCAGCUGCAGAACUUAUUACCGAUGUUAAAUUAGAACUUAGGAAGUAAAUCAGUUAUUACUGGGAGGUUGAUGUGCCUUACCUUUGGAUAUUGCUGUCUAACAACUUCUCUUGUAUUAUUUCAAAGCAAGACACAGAACAAAUCAGGUGACCUGUCUGGAGACAGUUUUCUAUCUGAGGACUUAUCCUGAAAUGUCCACAGUCUCCAUUUAUGUCUGUGCAGUUGUUUUGAGGAGUUUACCUUCAACAUCAAUAGAAUAAGUUAUGCUUUAAUGGGGUAAGCAGUUAGCGCUAGAAGUUGCUUACAGGAUGUGCCUUUUAAAAAGAGUAUUUUGGAACUUGAAUAUUUGUAGAGUUUGAUUGCACUUACAGCUGAAUCCAGGUGGUUCCAUGUUUGUGGUUCUUCGAACUGGAUUUCCUCCAAUAUUUUUAUGACUGCUUUCCAUUCUAGUUUUAAGACUUGUAUUACAAGUUUUAAUCCUGUAAUACAAUAAUAAAAACCAACCCUGGGAAUUUUUAUACUUAUGAUACUGUUGUAAAGCUGGGAAUAAGGAGGCUUGAUUGUUCCCUGGUUUAUCACUGCAGGAUGAGCAUUGUUUGUAUGUGUGCUCAGUAUCAAGUAUUUAUCACAGCUUUUCAGUGUCAUUAGAAGGGAAAAUGCUGUGAUCACUACAAUUUUACUUCCGUGUAUUUUCCCUUAAAGAGUUGUCCAAAUGAAUUUGUAAAUUCUUGUUGUAUUU